CCUACGGGUGGCAGCAGUGAGGAAUAUUGGUCAAUGGGCGAGAGCCUGAACCAGCCAAGUCGCGUGAGGGAGUACUGCCCUAUGGGUUGUAAACCUCUUUUGUCGGGGAGCAAAAGCCGGACGUGUCCGGCUGUGAGAGUACCCGAAGAAAAAGCAUCGGCUAACUCCGUGCCAGCAGCCACGGUAAUACGGAGGAUGCGAGCGUUAUCCGGAUUUAUUGGGUUUAAAGGGUGCGCAGGCGGAUUUUUAAGUCAGCGGUAAAAUCGUGGGGCUCAACCCCAUCCAGCCGUUGAAACUGGGGAUCUAGAGUGUGCGAGAGGUAUGCGGAAUGCGUGGUGUAGCGGUGAAAUGCAUAGAUAUCACGCAGAACCCCGAUUGCGAAGGCAGCAUACCGGUGCACAACUGACGCUCAGGCACGAAAGCGUGGGUAUCGAACAGGAUUAGAUACCCGGGUAGUC
rnacentral:rRNA from 1 species